UACGGAGGGGGCUAGCGUUGUUCGGAAUUACUGGGCGUAAAGCGCACGUAGGCGGCUUUGUAAGUUAGAGGUGAAAGCCCGGGGCUCAACUCCGGAAUUGCCUUUAAGACUGCAUCGCUAGAAUUGUGGAGAGGUAAGUGGAAUUCCGAGUGUAGAGGUGAAAUUCGUAGAUAUUCGGAAGAACACCAGUGGCGAAGGCGGCCAACUGGACGAGUACUGACACUGAGACACGAAAGCGUGGGGAGCAAACAGG
rnacentral:rRNA from 1 species